ACGGCUCAGUAACACGUGGACAACUGCCUUAGGACGGGGAUAAACCCGGGAAACUGGGUAUAAUACCCGAUAGGUCUCGAUUGCUGGAAUGCAUCGAGAUUUAAAGCUCCGGCGCCUAAGGAUGGGUCUGCGGCCUAUCAGGUAGUAGUGGGUGUAGCGUACCUACUAGCCUACGACGGGUACGGGUUGUGAGAGCAAGAGCCCGGAGAUGGAUUCUGAGACACGAAUCCAGGCCCUACGGGGUGCAGCAGGCGCGAAAACUUUACAAUGCUGGCAACAGCGAUAAGGGAACCUCGAGUGCCAGGUUACAAAUCUGGCUGUCGAGAUGCCUAAAAAGCAUUUCAUAGCAAGGGCCGGGCAAGACCGGUGCCAGCCGCCGCGGUAACACCGGCGGCUCGAGUGGUAACCGUUAUUAUUGGGUCUAAAGGGUCUGUAGCCGGCCGAAUAAGUCUCUUGAGAAAUCUGGCAGCUUAACUGUCAGGCUUUCAGGAGAUACUGUCUGGCUCGAGGCCGGGAGAGGUGAGAGGUACUUCAGGGGUAGGGGUGAAAUCUUGUAAUCCUUGAAGGACCACCAGUGGCGAAGGCGUCUCACCAGAACGGACCUGACGGCAAGGGACGAAAGCUAGGGGCACGAACCGGAUUAGAUACCCGGGUAGUCCUAGCCGUAAACGAUACUCGCUAGGUGUCGGCCACGGUGCGACCGUUGUCGGUGCCGUAGGGAAGCCGUGAAGCGGGCCACCUGGGAAGUACGGCCGCAAGGCUGAAACUUAAAGGAAUUGGCGGGGGAGCACCACAACGGGUGGAGCUUGCGGUUUAAUUGGAUUCAACGCCGGA
rnacentral:rRNA from 1 species